rnacentral:rRNA from 1 species
AUUGAACGCUGGCGGCAUGCCUUACACAUGCAAGUCGAACGGCAGCACGGGGGCAACCCUGGUGGCGAGUGGCGAACGGGUGAGUAAUGCAUCGGAACGUGCCCUGAAGUGGGGGAUAACGCAGCGAAAGUUGCGCUAAUACCGCAUAUUCUGUGAGCAGGAAAGCAGGGGAUCUUAGGACCUUGUGCUUUAGGAGCGGCCGAUGUCGGAUUAGCUAGUUGGUGGGGUAAAGGCUCACCAAGGCGACGAUCCGUAGCGGGUCUGAGAGGAUGAUCCGCCACACUGGGACUGAGACACGGCCCAGACUCCUACGGGAGGCAGCAGUGGGGAAUUUUGGACAAUGGGCGCAAGCCUGAUCCAGCCAUGCCGCGUGAGUGAAGAAGGCCUUCGGGUUGUAAAGCUCUUUCGGCGGGGAAGAAAUUGCUUCGGAUAAUACCCGGAGUAGAUGACGGUACCCGCAUAAGAAGCACCGGCUAACUACGUGCCAGCCGCCGCGGUAAAAC